ACAUGUCAAGCAAUCGACAGAUCCUCUCUAGAAUUGAUAAACUAAUUUGCCAAGCAAACUAAAUUUCAUGUAAAUCAAAUUUGUAAAUAAUUUUGGCAAGCAAGGUAAAAAUAUUUCUAACACAUAUUUGAAAUGACACAAAAUCGGAGAUUAGAAGAAACACAAAAAUGGAAAUGCUCCGUGCAAGCAUGGACAAAAACUAAAGGACAUUUACGUACAAGAUUUUCUCGCCCGCAGUGUUGACCGGUCAACUGGCCAAAUGGACUGGCUCUGGACAUUAGGGUCUUGUGUGUGUGUGUGUGUGUGUCUGUAUGCGUGUGUCUACGUAUAUUUCAUGCAAUAUCCUGUUGAAUAUUUAAAUUGUGUACACAAUUUCCGGAGCAAUGAGUUUGACAAUGGAAUCAUUAAGAAAAGAUAACUGAACCGGGCUGCAAGGCAAAGAUAAGAACGCCUGACUGGACACCCACACCAAUUGUCCAAAAGCCGAACCAAGUCAAACAUAGACAUUGCGUAAAUGCAUUUUGUGUGCGUGCGUGUGUGUGUGUCUGCAUGACUUAUACUGUUCCAAGAUGAUUUGUCUAAUGUGUGUGCCUGUAUCUGUGCGUGUCUGUGAUUGCAUUUUAUUUAUUUUUUGCCUUUGUGGUAUUUGUUUUGGUCGACAUAUAAUUUAUCAGGCCGGCAGAGACAUGCGCCGACCAAAUUGACAAUUAAAUAGAAGAGAGAGCCGAGAAAACUUGAUUAAAAUUGGCAACGAAACAGACAGAUGGUUGGCUUGAGAACUGAAUAAAAAAAAAAAAGGAUGAGCUGCACGUGCGUCAAACGCAGAUGCUUGCCAAAAGCUGCCCAAUGGCCAUCCAUACACGCACACACACGCCGGGCAUAGCCAAUGUGCGUUGGGAGACGUCCAGACACCCCUGUACGUGACCAACUGCAAAGCUGUCAAAAGUUGUGAAAAUUAAAAAAUAAAGUCAAACAAAUAUGCGCGACGGCAAAAA